rfam:Chelonia mydas contig274306, whole genome shotgun sequence.
GUUUCUGUAGUGUAGUGGUUAUCACCUUUGCCUAACACGCAAAAGAUCCCUGGUUCAAAACCAAGCAGGAACA